rnacentral:rRNA from 1 species
UACGAAGGGGGCUAGCGUUGCUCGGAAUCACUGGGCGUAAAGGGUGCGUAGGCGGGUCUUUAAGUCGGGGGUGAAAUCCUGGAGCUCAACUCCAGAACUGCCUUCGAUACUGGAAGACUUGAGUCCGGGAGAGGUGAGUGGAACUGCGAGUGUAGAGGUGAAAUUCGUAGAUAUUCGCAAGAACACCAGUGGCGAAGGCGGCUCACUGGCCCGGUACUGACGCUGAGGUGCGAAAGCGUGGGGAGCAAACAGGG